CAACAGUUGGAAACGACUGCUAAUACCGCAUAAGCCCACGGCUCGGCAUCGAGCAGAGGGAAAAGGAGCAAUCCGCUUUGAGAUGGCCUCGCGUCCGAUUAGCUAGUUGGUGAGGUAACGGCCCACCAAGGCAACGAUCGGUAGCCGGACUGAGAGGUUGAACGGCCACAUUGGGACUGAGACACGGCCCAGACUCCUACGGGAGGCAGCAGUGGGGAAUAUUGCACAAUGGGGGAAACCCUGAUGCAGCGACGCCGCGUGGAGGAAGAAGGUCUUCGGAUUGUAAACUCCUGUUGUUGGGGAAGAUAAUGACGGUACCCAACAAGGAAGUGACGGCUAACUACGUGCCAGCAGCCGCGGUAAAACGUAGGUCACAAGCGUUGUCCGGAAUUACUGGGUGUAAAGGGAGCGCAGGCGGGAAGACAAGUUGGAAGUGAAAUCUAUGGGCUCAACCCAUAAACUGCUUUCAAAACUGUUUUUCUUGAGUAGUGCAGAGGUAGGCGGAAUUCCCGGUGUAGCGGUGGAAUGCGUAGAUAUCGGGAGGAACACCAGUGGCGAAGGCGGCCUACUGGGCACCAACUGACGCUGAGGCUCGAAAGUGUGGGUAGCAAACAGGAUUAGAUACCCUGGUAGUCCACACCGU
rnacentral:rRNA from 1 species